AGGAGAAAAGGUAUGAAGGAGCCAGUCUUCUGAUCUGAAAUGUCUUCAGUUAAUCAGACUGUGACUUUGGAAGGCUAUUGGUUCUCCUUAGAACUAUACAGCUAACUGAACAACAGCCAAAAGAAAAAGAAAGUCUCAAAGAUGAGAGACGCACCGUGGGACUGUACAACCCCAGAAAGAAUGAGCAGGAGGGAAUGUGUCGUGUCUUUCAGGCUCUGGCAGUUCUGGCGGAAGCUGCCAAU